rnacentral:rRNA from 1 species
AUCAACUUUCGAUGGUAGGAUAGAGGCCUACCAUGGUGGUAACGGGUAACGGGGUGUUAGGGCACGACACCGGAGAGGGAGCCUGAGAAACGGCUACCACAUCCAAGGAUGGCAGCAGGCGCGCAAAUUACCCAAUCCCGACACGGGGAGGUAGUGACAAUAAAUAACAAUACGGGGUUCUUUCGGAUUUCGUAAUUGGAAUGAGUACAAUUUAAAUCUCUUAACGAGGAACAAUUGGAGGGCAAGUCUGGUGCCAGCAGCCGCGGUAAUUCCAGCUCCAAUAGCGUAUAUUAAAGUUGCUGCAGUUAAAAAGCUCGUAGUUGAAUUUCGGGACCAAUAUGUCGGUCGUGCCUCGGUACGUACUGGCAUCGUUGGUUUCUCCCUUCUGACGAACCAUGAUGUCAUUUAUUUGGUGUCGUGGGGAAUCAGGACUGUUACUUUGAAAAAAUUAGAGUGUUUAAAGCAGGCUCACGCUUGAAUACAUUAGCAUGGAAUAAUGAAAUAGGACGUUUGAUUCUAUUUUGUUGGUUUCUAGGAUCGACGUAAUGAUUAAUAGGGAUAGUUGGGGGCAUUAGUAUUCAAUUGUCAGAGGUGAAAUUCUUGGAUUUAUUGAAGACUAACUGCUGCGAAAGCAUUUGCCAAGGAUGUUUUCAUUAAUCAAGAACGAAAGUUAGGGGAUCGAAGACGAUCAGAUACCGUCGUAGUCUUAACCAUAAACUAUGCCGACUAGGGAUCGGAUGAUGUUAAUUUUUUAAUGACUCAUUCGGCGCCUUACGGGUAACCAAAGUGUUUGGGUUC